GGUGCUUCUAGCCACCCCUCCACUACCGGCGCCACCGUUGUCGACGGCAUAAACGCUGGCCUUCUUAUUUCAACCACCGAGACCAUACGUUUGUUUCUCGCCGGAGCUUCCGCGGGAGUUGAACUCUCCGAUGACCUGAGAGAACUCGCGUCUUCCCUUUCUGAUCAUCCCACGGUACCAUACAAACAUCUGAGGUCGGUUUGGAUUGGGUCUAACCCUUCAACGCGACCUGAUCUGAUGGGCUUGUUAUCCGGAUCCAAUUUCGUCUUCUGCAGUCCAAAACCUAGAGAGAAAAGUGAGGAACUCAAAGCUCGGUUGAAGAAACUAGAAGAAGCGUCGGAGAGGAAGGCGUAUGAUGAAUUGGUGAAGGAUAUUACUCCUAGGAAACCUGUGGAUGAACCUUUUUCCUCUUAUAAAGAUCAAAUGGGCUUUGGCUUACAUGUUGGUAUAGCAAUGUUCACUUGCUAUCUGAUGGGAUAUUUUACAUUCAGGGCCUUAUUUAAUCACAAUCCAGCAAUGAGCGCUGCUGGGGGCAUUCUUGGAUUGGUCAUUGCCAUGCUUGUCGAGACACUUCUCUUUAUUAUUAGAACUUCGAGUCUAGAUAAAAAACCGGCUAGAAAAGCCACAUCAACGCAGAAGAAGAAUCAGUAGGUUUCAUCACAAGAAGUUGAUUCGUUCUAUGUUUCCUUAGAAUAGGAAUAAAUAUUUUGGUAUUGAACAUCUCAUUUAUUUCUCCUCCUCUGAAAUUUUUAUGCUGUAAAAAUAUGUACUUUUUGAUUUGUGUAGCUCACUAUAGGUUCAUUAUAAGAGAACUAUUGCUCUGCAAUGCAUAAUUAUUUCUAAUUGGGAAGUUUGUCUUUGGCACUUGUAAUACAAGAUAAUUUUAUUGUCUUU
rnacentral:misc_RNA from 1 species